ACGGAAGGCAGCAGUGGGGAAUAUUGGGCAAUGGGCGAAAGCCUGACCCAGCAACGCCGCGUGAAGGAAGAAGGCCUUCGGGUUGUAAACUUCUUUUACCAGGGACGAAGGACGUGACGGUACCUGGAGAAAAAGCAACGGCUAACUACGUGCCAGCAGCCGCGGUAAUACGUAGGUUGCAAGCGUUGUCCGGAUUUACUGGGUGUAAAGGGCGUGUAGGCGGAGAGGCAGGUCAGAUGUGAAAUCCCGGGGCUCAACCCCGGAACUGCAUUUGAAACUGUCUCCCUUGAGUAUCGGAGAGGCAAGCGGAAUUCCUAGUGUAGCGGUGAAAUGCGUAGAUAUUAGGAAGAACACCAGUGGCGAAGGCGAUUCUCUGGACUGUAACUGACGCUGAGGCUCGAAAGCGUGGGGAGCAAACAGGAUUAGAUACCCUGGUA
rnacentral:rRNA from 1 species